AGGUCUCAGUAAGAACUCAAGGCUGUGACUUGACUGGGCACGGUAGCUGAAGAGUACAGGAAUCCUCGCAUACUCUUCUUGCUACCCUGCCUCCCCAGCAGGUCUGCAAGUCUGUGCCUGAGAACGG
ensembl:miRNA Mir8096 microRNA 8096